UUUAUACUCCAUUCGAUCGGACAUACGUGUCAUAGGAAUGGAGGUAUCUAGAUGUAUUUUAGUUCUAGAUACAUCCAUUUUUUUACAUUUGUGCGACAAGUAAUUCUGGACGGAGGGAGUAUACA
rnacentral:pre_miRNA from 1 species